rnacentral:tRNA from 1 species
GAGAACAUUGCGCAGUUUGGUAGCGCGCCUGCUUCGUGAGCAGGGGGCCGCUGGUUCGAAUCCAGCUAUUCCG